rnacentral:rRNA from 1 species
UACGAAGGGGGCUAGCGUUGUUCGAAAUCACUGCGCGUCAAGCGCACGCAGGCGGAUCGAUAAGUCGGGGGUGAAAGCCCGGGGCUCAACCUCGGAAUUGCCUUCGAUACUGGCGGUCUCGAGUCCGGGAGAGGUGAGUGGAAGUCCUGGUGUAGAGGUGAAAUUCGUAGAUAUUAGGAAGAACACCAGUGGCGAAGGCGGCUCACUGGCCCGGUACUGACGCUCAGGUGCGAUAGCCUGGGGAGCAAACAGG